rnacentral:tRNA from 1 species
GGGCCCGUAGCUCAGUCGGUUAGAGCAGCCGGCUCAUAACCGGUCGGUCCUCGGUUCAAGCCCGAGCGGGCCCA